UGCCUCGCCCGAACCGUCCGCGAGGUGCACCGGUGCAGCAGAGAACAGGCACAAAGAGAAGAUGAGACCGCGGUAUCAGGCCGCCCUCGGAAAGUAGUGCGGCUUUCGGCGGCGUGUGGGAGCCGGGAUCGCGGGAAUUAGACCAGUGGAGGAACAGAGAGAACUUGGAGUCCGUGUCUACAGAUCCUUCAAAGUGCCACACAAAAUGAUAGGGAGGUUAAGAAGACAAGGAAAGUUAACAUGGUGUCAGUUUGUCCCGGACAGUGACAAUCGAUCAAACUGCAUUCCUCAAGACUGGUGCCUCUAUAUUUUGGACAACUGUUAAGAUGAACAAGCCUCCAUUUAAAUGGUCUUCAGCUGUUGCAGCUGCCCUGGGGAGGAGACACUGGACCUGCCUGCUGAUGUUGCUCUCCAGUGUUCAUUCUCUGGCUUGUCUUCGGCUGCACUAGCUGCGUGGCCGUGUACUCCACAAACACUGGGAUUGCAGAUUACUACAUGGGAAUGUGGAAAGAAACCAGGGCAUCCGGAGGAAACCCACGCAGUCACAGGGAUUCAAGAUUGUCACCUACUUUCCUGACUUUAGUGUCUGUACUACAAUAAAACCAUGUUUUGAACUGUAGAAUGUCAGUUUUGAAAA